AUUGUUUCGGUAGUGGGCAAGUGUUUUUGUUGUCGCAGUUACAGUUGUCAGUUUCCAUGUUCUAUUCGUACAACUGUAACUGCGACAACAAAAACACUUGCCCACUACCGAAACAAUGU
rnacentral:miRNA from 1 species